UGGGGAAUAUUGGACAAUGGGCGCAAGCCUGAUCCAGCCAUGCCGCGUGAGUGACGAAGGCCUUAGGGUUGUAAAGCUCUUUUGGCGGGGAAGAUAAUGACGGUACCCGCAGAAUAAGCUCCGGCUAACUCUGUGCCAGCAGCCGCGGUAAGACAGAGGUUGCAAACGUUGUUCGGAAUCACUGGGCAUAAAGCGCACGUAGGCGGUCUGUUAAGUCAGGUGUGAAAGCCCCCGGCUCAACCGGGGAACAGCAUUUGAUACUGGCAGACUCGAGGAUGGUAGGGGUGAGUGGAACUCCAGGUGGAGCGGUGAAAUGCGUAGAUAUCUGGAGGAACACCGGUGGCGAAAGCGGCUCACUGGACCAUAACUGACGCUGAGGUGCGAAAGCGUGGGGAGCAAACAGGAUUAGAUACCCAGGUAGUCCCUGAGCGGGCUGGCAAGGCGCAU
rnacentral:rRNA from 1 species